UAAGAAGUUAUCAAGGGCGUGCGGGGAAUGCCUAGGCUCUCGGAGGCGAUGAAGGACGCGAUAAGCUGCGAAAAGGUUCGGGGAUCUGCACAUAAGAGUUGAUCCGAACGUAUCCGAAUGGGACAACCCACUUGGUUGAAGACCAAGUAUCCUUAGGGAGGCCAACCCGGUGAACUGAAACAUCUAAGUAACCGGAGGAAAAGAAAACAACAGUGAUUCCGCAAGUAGUGGCGAGCGAACGCGGAUUAGCCCAAACCAGUUCCGUUACGGCGGGAUUGGGGUUGUAGGACUGCUUAUUAGAAGACUACUGAAAUUGAACGAUCUGGGAAGGUCGGCCGGAGCAGGUGACAGCCCUGUAGAUGUAAAGGUAGUUAACGUAGCAGGAUCCUGAGUAGGUGGGGACCGGUGAAAUCCCCUCUGAAUCUGGCGGCACCAUCCGCCAAGGCUAAAUACUCCCGAGAGACCGAUAGUGAACGAGUACCGUGAGGGAAAGGUGAAAAGUACCCCGAAUAGGGGGGUGAAAAGACCCUGAAACCGCACGCUUACAAGCGGUCGGAGCCAGUUUGUCUGGUGACGGCGUGCCUUUUGCAUAAUGACCCUACGAGUUACGGUUACUGGCCAGGUUAAGUAUUGCAGAUACGGAGCCGAAGCGAAAGCGAGUCUGAAUAGGGCGAUGAGUCAGUGGCUGUAGACGCGAAACUUUGUGAUCUACCCAUGACCAGGUUGAAGUGUCGGUAACACGACAUGGAGGACCGAACCAGUUGACGUUGAAAAGUCUUUGGAUGAGUUGUGGGUAGGGGUGAAAGGCCAAUCAAACUGAGAGAUAGCUCGUACUCCCCGAAAUGUUUUUAGGAACAG
rnacentral:ncRNA from 1 species